UUGAACGCUGGCGGCAGGCCUAACACAUGCAAGUCGAGCGGAUGAAGGGAGCUUGCUCCUGGAUUCAGCGGCGGACGGGUGAGUAAUGCCUAGGAAUCUGCCUGGUAGUGGGGGAUAACGUCCGGAAACGGGCGCUAAUACCGCAUACGUCCUGAGGGAGAAAGUGGGGGAUCUUCGGACCUCACGCUAUCAGAUGAGCCUAGGUCGGAUUAGCUAGUUGGUGGGGUAAAGGCCUACCAAGGCGACGAUCCGUAACUGGUCUGAGAGGAUGAUCAGUCACACUGGAACUGAGACACGGUCCAGACUCCUACGGGAGGCAGCAGUGGGGAAUAUUGGACAAUGGGCGAAAGCCUGAUCCAGCCAUGCCGCGUGUGUGAAGAAGGUCUUCGGAUUGUAAAGCACUUUAAGUUGGGAGGAAGGGCAGUAAGUUAAUACCUUGCUGUUUUGACGUUACCAACAGAGUAAGCACCGGCUAACUUCGUG
rnacentral:rRNA from 1 species